CUUUGAGAGGAAGGACGUCAUCCCAACUGGCUCAACUGCUUUGCCUUGCCUGGGGAAACAAAGUUUAAUAUGCAGAAUGAAACCAUUUUAAUGGCUGGCUUAUGCUGCCCCAAACAAGACAUCGGGACAGAGCUACCUCCCCAGCAAAGGUCAUCAGAACACACUGUCCCCAGGAGCCUUUCAUCCAGGAUUUAUUAGCUGGGUAAUUAUGGGAAGCAUUUUUCUUUUCUGCAUUUUCUUUACUGCGUUGGUGAUGAUCUGUACACAUCCAGAGAACUAAAAAUAAAUAGCAGGAGGUCUGA